AUGCUGGAGGUAUCAGAAGUGCGAAUGCUGACAUAAGUAACGAUAAAGCGGGUGAAAAGCCCGCUCGCCGGAAGACCAAGGGUUCCUGUCCAACGUUAAUCGGGGCAGGGUGAGUCGACCCCUAAGGCGAGGCCGAAAGGCGUAGUCGAUGGGAAACAGGUUAAUAUUCCUGUACUUGGUGUUACUGCGAAGGGGGGACGGAGAAGGCUAUGUUGGCCGGGCGACGGUUGUCCCGGUUUAAGCGUGUAGGCUGGUUUUCCAGGCAAAUCCGGAAAAUCAAGGCUGAGGCGUGAUGACGAGGCACUACGGUGCUGAAGCAACAAAUGCCCUGCUUCCAGGAAAAGCCUCUAAGCAUCAGGUAACAUCAAAUCGUACCCCAAACCGACACAGGUGGUCAGGUAGAGAAUACCAAGGCGCUUGAGAGAACUCGGGUGAAGGAACUAGGCAAAAUGGUGCCGUAACUUCGGGAGAAGGCACGCUGAUAUGUAGGUGAAGCGACUUGCUCGUGGAGCUGAAAUCAGUCGAAGAUACCAGCUGGCUGCAACUGUUUAUUAAAAACACAGCACUGUGCAAACACGAAAGUGGACGUAUACGGUGUGACGCCUGCCCGGUGCCGGAAGGUUAAUUGAUGGGGU
rnacentral:rRNA from 1 species